CAUAGAGUUUGAUCUUGGCUCAGGACGAACGUUGGCGGUGCGCCUAAUGCAUGCAAGUCGAACGGGCGAAGGGACUUCGGUCCCCUAGCUAGUGGCAGACGGCUGAGUAACACGUAAAUGAUCUGCCCCGAAGUGAGGGACAACCCCGAGAAAUCGGGCCUAAUACCUCGUAAGUUCAUUGGAUCACGGUCCAGUGAAGAAAGGUUUCGGCCACUUUGGGAGGAGUUUGCGGCCUAUCAGGUAGUUGGUGGGGUAAUAGCCUACCAAGCCGAAGACGGGUAACCGGUGUGAGAGCACGAUCGGUCAGAGGGGGACUGAGACACGGCCCCCACUCCUACGGGAGGCAGCAGCAGGGAAUCUUGCACAAUGGACGAAAGUCUGAUGCAGCGACACCGCGUGAGGGAAGAAGGCCUUCGGGUUGUAAACCUCUUUUAUCAGGGAAGAGUAAGGACUGUACCUGACGAAUAAGGACCGGCUAACUACGUGCCAGCAGCCGCGGUAAUACGUAGGGUUCAAACGUUGUCCGGAUUUACUGGGCGUAAAGAGCGCGUAGGCGGUUUGUUAAGUCUCAUGUGAAAUCUCCCGGCUCAACUGGGAGGGGUCAUGGGAAACUGGCAGGCUUGAGGGUAGCAGAGGAAAGCGGAAUUCCCGGAGUAGUGGUGAAAUGCGUAGAUACCGGGAGGAACACCAGAGGCGAAGGCGGCUUUCUGGGCUAUUCCUGACGCUGAGGCGCGAAAGCGUGGGGAGCAAACCGGAUUAGAUACCCGGGUAGUCCACGCCCUAAACGAUGGAUACUAGAUAUGGGGGGUAUCGACCCCUCCCGUGUCGCAGCUAACGCAUUAAGUAUCCCGCCUGAGGAGUACGGCCGCAAGGCUAAAACUCAAAAGAAUUGACGGGGACCCGCACAAGCAGCGGAGCGUGUGGUUUAAUUCGAUGAUAAGCGAAGAACCUUACCAGGGCUUGACAUGCUUUUGACCGGCUGCGAAAGCAGCCUUUCCUUCGGGACAGAUGCACAGAUGUUGCAUGGCUGUCGUCAGCUCGUGCCGUGAGGUGUUGGGUUAAGUCCCGCAACGAGCGCAACCCCUGUCGUUAGUUAGAAUGUCUAGCGAGACUGCCCCUAAACAGGGGAGGAAGGUGGGGAUGACGCCAAGUCAUCAUGGCUCUUACGUCCUGGGCUACACACACGCUACAAUGGGCGGCACAGAGGGUUGCGAAGGCGCGAGCUGGAGCUAAUCCCACAAAGCCGUCCCCAGUUGGAAUUGCAGGCUGAAACCCGCCUGCAUGAACGCGGAGUUGCUAGUAACCGCAGGUCAGCACACUGCGGUGAAUACGUUCUCGGGUCUUGUACACACCGCCCGUCACGUCAUGGAAGUCGGUAACACUUGAAGUCGCUGGGCCAACCCGCAAGGGGGGCAGGCGCCGAGGGUGGGACUGGUGACUGGGACGAAGUCGUAACAAGGUAGCUGUACCGGAAGGUGCGGCUGGAUCACCUCCUUUCUA
rnacentral:rRNA from 1 species